UGCCAACGGGGCUAGCGGUGUUCGGAAUUACUGGGCGUAAAGCGCACGUAGGCGGAUUGACACGUUGGGUGUGAAAUCCCGGGGCUCAACCUCGGAACUGCCUUCAAAACUGUCUAUCUUGAGGUCAGGAGAGGUUAGCGGAAUACCGAGUGGAGAGGUGAAAUUCGUUGAUAUUCGGUGGAACACCAGUGGCGAAAGCGGCUAACUGGACUGAUACUGACGCUGAGGUGCGAAAGUGUGGGUAGCAAACAGG
rnacentral:rRNA from 1 species